CGACCCCGUAGCCCAGAUGGAUAGAGCGACUGCCUCCUAAGCAGUAGGUCGCGCGUUCGAGUCGCGCCGGGGCCGCCAA
rnacentral:tRNA from 1 species